GGCCCUGUGUGGAGCUUCCCUGCUCCCUAGCACCUCUCCAGUACGGACUUCCCAGAAGCCCAAUCCCUGCCUUGGUGGUUUCUGUUCUGGGGCUUCUAUUCUGGUCCCUCUGAGCCUCUCACCCUCUCCCAACACCCAGAGUUUCUCACAUGUCUAUUCAGUGGAGGUCUGUCUGCCAGAAUGCAAGGCAGAGCUCAUGUGGACUCAGUUCCCUGCUGCAUCCCCGGUGCCUGCAACAGAGCCUGCCACCGAGGACACCUGGGUGGCUCAGCAGCUGAACGUAUGCCUUUGGCUCAGGACGUGACCCUGGAGUCCUGGGAUCAAGUCCCACAUCGAGCUCCCUGCAGGAGAGCUUCUCCCUCUGCCUGUGUCUCUGCCUCACUCUCUCUGUGUCUCUCAUGAAUAAAUAAAUAAAAUCUUAAAUAAAAAUAA